rnacentral:rRNA from 1 species
AUUGAACGCUGGCGGCAUGCUUUACACAUGCAAGUCGAACGGCAGCGCGGGGCAACCUGGCGGCGAGUGGCGAACGGGUGAGUAAUAUAUCGGAACGUACCCAGAAGUGGGGGAUAACGUAGCGAAAGUUACGCUAAUACCGCAUACGAUCUACGGAUGAAAGUGGGGGACCUUCGGGCCUCAUGCUUGUGGAGCGGCCGAUAUCUGAUUAGCUAGUUGGUAGGGUAAAGGCCUACCAAGGCGACGAUCAGUAGCUGGUCUGAGAGGACGACCAGCCACACUGGAACUGAGACACGGUCCAGACUCCUACGGGAGGCAGCAGUGGGGAAUUUUGGACAAUGGGCGCAAGCCUGAUCCAGCAAUGCCGCGUGAGUGAAGAAGGCCUUCGGGUUGUAAAGCUCUUUUGUCAGGGAAGAAACGGUUCGAGCUAAUAUCUUGGGCUAAUGACGGUACCUGAAGAAUAAGCACCGGCUAACUACGUGCCAGCAGCCGCGGUAACAC